rnacentral:rRNA from 1 species
GGGUAGUCCCAGCUGUAAACGUUGGGCGCUAGGUGUGGGGAGUGUCGACCCUCCCCGUGCCGAAGCUAACGCGUUAAGCGCCCCGCCUGGGGAGUACGGCCGCAAGGCUUAAACCCAAGGUAAUUGACGGGGGCCCGCACAAGCGGUGGAGCAUGUGGCUUAAUUCGAUGCAACGCGAAGAACCUUACCAGGGCUUGACAUGCCCGUGGUAGGGGCCCGAAAGGGCUUCCGACCCCCGUAAGGGGGAGCGGGCACAGGUGCUGCAUGGCUGUCGUCAGCUCGUGCCGUGAGGUGUUGGGUUAAGUCCCGCAACGAGCGCAACCCUCGCCCCUAGUUGCCAUCGGUUCGGCCGGGCACUCUAGGGGGACUGCCGGCGAUAAGCCGGAGGAAGGAGGGGACGACGUCAAGUCCGCAUGGCCCUUAUGCCCUGGGAUGCACACGUGCUACAAUGGCCGGUACAGCGGGUUGCGAACCCGUGAGGGGGGAGCCAAUCCCCUAAAAAGCCGGCCUCAGUACGGGAUCGGAGGCUGCAACUCGCCUCCGUGAAGCCGGAAUCGC